GGUAGGGCUGUAGUUAUAGGAGAACCUUAAAGAGGGCAGUAUGGCUGGGGAUCAGCAGUAGAAGUUUGUGCUAAUUAAUUAAUUAGUAGAGUAGUUAAUACUGCCCCUCUAAUUAGUGUAGGGAGGGAGAAGGUGGUCAUGGAGGGAUUGCCAGUGGUGAGAGGAAAGGAACUUGUUCUAGUGAUGAAGUGGAAGAUAUGUGGAAAACCAGGGAGCCAGUGUUUCUUAAUUCUUAUGAAACUAAUCCUUAAGCAGGCUGUCCCUGAUCAGAAGUUUCUGACACUUAAAACAUAAGAUGAACUCUUGAUUCCAAGCAUGUCUAGCCUUCCUUCUCAAAAAACUUAAAUUAUGUCAUGUGAAGAGGAGGAAAGUGGCAUGCAGGCAGUCUGCCUUCAUUGGUGUGCCUUAUAACUCAGUCAUAAGAAAUAUGAUGAGUGUGUUUAGCAUGCCAGAACUAGAGAUCAUUGCACAGUGCAGAACUUCUGUCAAUGCUGGAAAUAAUUCUGAUAUGGAAGGUACAGGUACCUUGACUACCAUGACAUUCAACUACCAACUACAACCUGCGUAAAGCUUCUGUGUGAAACUCUGUUCUCUGAAACAAAGGUCUCUCAGUGCUGCCGGGGUGGGAACUUGUUCCAGUCAGACUAACUGGGGAUGUGGACAACUCUUGCUUGUAAAGUAUUUUAAGUUUUGUAAAAGGUAAGAGGGUUCAAAAAAACCAGAAACCUGGAUGAGGCAGAACAAACUCAUGUUUUCUAGGGUGUUUUGAAAUUGCAUUAGAGCAAGCUAUGUGCAAGUUCUGUUUUGGGUCUCUACAGAGUAUAUGUCUCAGCUUCUGGGAAGUCCUGUUCCUUGUUUUGGCUGGCCAGUGCCUCCUUUUAAUCCAUGAAUUUGAUGGUUCAUCUUUCUAUUCCAUUGCAAGAAGUCUAACAGAGUGAGAUCUGAGGAAGUGCACAGAGGAAACCUCAAAACAAAGGGGAAUCUUUAAGCCAAUUAAAGCUGCUACCCUGUUAGUUUUGUAAACACUGCAGCAGGUAAGCAUUGCUAAUUAAUAAGCUGCCAAACACCUACCAGCCUAGCAAUGAAAUUGGAAACUUAUUUCAGUGUUGCUUACAAGAUUUCUCAACUUUGGAAUGCUGCAUCAAACUAGUUCAAAACUUCAGUGACUAUUCUAGGAAUUGAUGAACAAGACUGUAAUUGACUUCAGUUCCUGUGAGUACAGCAGACCAGGCUGAAGUUGGAUGUGGAAGUUUCCCUGUCUGCGGAGUAGUAUAAAGUUCAUAGAUACUCCUAGUGAUUCUGGUAUAACUACAUUUUCACUACAGCUAUACCCAUCUUUCAAAGAGGAUAAUGCUCUGCUAGAAAGACUUCCUAGGAAGAAAAACAAUGGUGAGAAUAAAGCUGGAAAAAGCUCUGGGAGCUAGGAAGAUGCUGCACAGGGAGCUUUGAGUACUGUAGAAAAGCAGGUCAGUCUUUGACAUGAGAAGUUUUGCCAGCAAGUGUUGGAGUGCUUGAGCUACAGAUGUUUGUUUACACUGACCACAAACACAAGUUUCAUAACUCUAGUUGUUUUGGAGUUAAUAGUGCCAGUUAAUAUUGUCUCUUCCUGCUUAUGUUCACUCUAUUACCUUGUUUUAGGAGACUUCUGAAAAAUAGGCUACUGCACAGCCUUAAAAUUAAGUUCAUGGAAAACUGAUGUUCAUGUCCUAAACUGAUACACAGCUACAGGACAAAUAAUACUACAGAGAUUUUGAUAAGACUUCUCUGUACAGAAGCAAAUAAAUAGGUGAUAUCUUGUUUGACUUGUAAUAUUUAAAAUAGAAAGCAAAUGCCCUUACUCCUGCGUUGAGAGGCAAGACAUGGCACUUUAACCAUCCUAGGAGAAUCAACCAGUUCACUUGGGUUUUCCUCCUUGCUGUUCUGACUGAAACCUCACAAAAAGAACUGAUUAAAGAAGUUGGACUGUGGCCUCUCAAGAGUUGGAUGUGAAUUUGCUGUUGCAAACUAUGACUGGAUAUUUCUAAUCUACAGCACAGAUGCUUUCCAAAUGCUGGCAAACCAAACUCAACAGGGUAACUAUCUACAGGGUCCUUUUUCUAGUGUGUUUUGAAAAAACAAUUCUCUGCUAGUUGAUCUCAGAACAAAGGUAAAGAGGCAACCCACAAAUUGUUAAGCAAGUUGUUGUGGGGGGAGCCAUCAAAAUAAAACAACCCUGAACUUUGACUGCUGGGGAAGUACAUCACUGGUGUUACUUUCUUUUCAUAAAAUAUACUAAAUACAUACAUUUAAUAGUACAGAUUAGAGACAAAAUGACAGAACAAGACUUGAAGAAUGUGUUGAAAGGGUGAGAGUCAAGUAAAAUGCCCUUCUGUAGCUUGAGAGAGUAACUGUCCCGUCUUCCAGAGGAAAAAAACACAAAGGCAUAAUCUAAUUUCAUGCAUUUGAGACCACAGGACCAGAUGUGCAUAAAUACUUGCAGAGACAAGACUUGGCUAAUACUUCACACAAAUGAAUCUUCAGUUACCAACUGAUGCUGCUUACAGCCAAACAAGUGAGUUUUCAUAGCACUAAACUACCUGUAGAUAUGUUGGGUGUAACAACUGCUGCUCAGGCAAGUGCCCUCAAAACAGUUUGUUGAUAAACACACACACAAGCUCUGUUAGCAAAUAUUGUCCCUCAACAAGUGACAAGCUCUAAGUGUUUGUUGCCUGCUUUCAAAAUUUGUCUGCACCAUAUUUACUGAACUGUUGUGUUCAAUUUUAACUGCUGCCAUAAAAAAUUUUAGAAGUGUAAUAAAGUAUAAUAUUCUUGUUUUCCUGCAAGCAUCAAAUAUAUUGCCCUUGGUUUUAAUAUUUUUAAAAUAGCAAAAUCCAUGAGAAGAGGGAAUAAAUGUUCCUGGCUUGAAUUUUGGGACAUUAGUCACAGCAUGUUUCUGCACUAGUGUCAUAGAGGAAGGAAAACCUAUCUUUGCAUUGAAAUUAGAGGGUGGAUUUAGGCUAUAAUUUAAUUUCCACAUGCCCAAAUCAUCCAGCAUGCCUCAAUGAGUAGAAAAGCUUGUAAUUAACCCCUUCUCAGGAACCACAAGUAAACAGGAUUGUUUGAGGAAACUGAUUUCUCAAUGUGAACUGGACUUCCAGCUAGAGUGUCUGCUGUCAUGUUAAAAUUAGGGAUUAUUUUGGAAGCCUCCUUCCUUCCUGAUGCUUCUGGCCCUAGCAACUGUUCUUGCUUCCCAAGAAUCCCUUGCACACAGCCCCUGGGUACAAUGCCAUGCUCCUCUCUUGCGUUAAAAGCAAGUUCAGUUCAAGUGCCAAGGUUGCAGGAUCUGCUUAGGUUGGUGGAGUUGAACUCCCUCCCUUGUGGGAGCAGAGGAGAAAGUUUCCAGGUACUUAAAAGUAUGAACUGAACAGUUUUUCAGAACACAUUUCUCUCUUUCUUUCUAUUAAUUGAGUACAUGCAGCAAUAGGGUGUGUGGAAGAUAAAGCAUCUCUGAACUGCAAUUGUCUCUGGAGCAGAUACCUGCCCUUGGACAAGGGAUGGGAAGUUUGAGCUGAUGUCUCCCUUGCAGGGAGCGUGGUUACAGCUGGGCAUGAGCAGUUUCCUGUGGGGAUGGUGUGGUGUCUCAAGGCUUCCUCACAAAUGAGGAAUGUCUGCUCAGCCUCUCUUCUGGUUUACCAAAGGCAACAUAGACGUUUUUCAACUAUUUCAACUUGCUAAAAGUUUCAGUUAUGAAAUGCUUCUCCAGACUUUCCUGUUUGUCAGACUUUGUACUAGACGGCCCCUAUGGCAACUAUCAAUGUACUCUAACACGUUUUUUGGGGAAGUGCAGCCCAGAUUUUGGCUUAAACUGUCCUGUCAGAAGUAAUUUUAUUUUUUUUUUUACAAGGACAAACAAAGGAAGACUAGACUUUAGACACUUCAACACAAACUGCUGAGUGCUUCUAAUAAAGCUUCUUGUCCAUACUCCGGCUACUUGAGAUCACAGUUUGUUGUCUGACAUCCUUCCUCUCAAAGAGCAAAAAACAUUUGCUCUUUAAGAUAGCAAACAACAAAAAGCAUUUCAUUGAAAGUUGGACAAAGGCCUUUAGGUAAAUUCUGCUAUCCAAUAAAGACUAUGUACAAACACAUGCAAAAAGCACUCAAAAGUUUGCUCCCUAGGCUUAACUUUCAAGGCACUUCUCACUUCUACCAACAGCUUAGUCUGGUCUUGUCAGAAGCUUAUUCUUUUUCUAAUUGCCAGCACAAAAUGUUUUUAAUUUAUGUUUUGACAGCUAAAAUACUACAUCUUCAUAAAUACAAAGAAAUGUCAAUAGCAUCAGCACAGAAGCGAAGAAACCAGAUGCAGUAGUAACAGCUGGGGGAGACUGCAAUGAUUCUAUAAAAAGUUAAGAGAAGCAUCUGCUUAUAGUUUGAUAAAAGCUAUCUGUCUAAAUCCAACCUAGAAAAUCAGAUCCUGCUACAGCUGGCAUAGAGAUUAUGAACAUCUCACAGAACAAAAAAUCCCCACCACCCUGUUUAGAAAGAAUUGGUUUUGAUCAAGAUAUUUCCUUCACUUCUGUCCUUUU